rnacentral:rRNA from 1 species
UACGUAGGGACCGAGCGUUGUCCGGAUUCAUUGGGCGUAAAGGGUGCGUAGGCGGCGCGGUAAGUCGGGUGUGAAAUCUCGGAGCUUAACUCCGAAACUGCAUUCGAUACUGCCGUGCUUGAGGACUGGAGAGGAGACUGGAAUUUACGGUGUAGCGGUGAAAUGCGUAGAUAUCAUAAGGAAGACCAGUGGCGAAGGCGGGUCUCUGGACAGUUCCUGACGCUGAGGCACGAAGGUCAGGGGAGCAAACGGG